AACUUUUAAUAAUAAAUCUCUUAAUUCUAGUAUCAAUAAAGAACGUAGCGAAAUAUAAUAAAUAAUAUAAAUUAUAGAAUUUAGUAAAUUAUUAAAUCUUUAAACGUAUAUUAUAUUUAUUAAUAUUCUAGUAAGUAUGCCUAUUCGAGUGUUA
rnacentral:rRNA from 2 species